CUGAGCCCUAGAUGCUGUCAUUGUCUUAGGGACAGACUCCCCUCCCCCAGUGGUUUCUGUGGCUCACACCACUGGGUUGGGCAGCUUUGCCCAGAACCAGGCUCAUACUUUGGAGCUCCUUGAGCGGUUCCUCCAUCCCUGUGGCUCCUGAGAGCAGCAGGCAUCGGCUCAGCCAGUGCUGUGUGAGCAUGUGCACCUCUCUGUCUGGAAAGUUCUCAGGCUGGGCGAGCGGGGCCCAUCUGCAGACACUUCAUUCACAACUUGUUACUGUGGCCACAAGGAAGACAGAACUGGAAACCCAGGAAUCUGGAAACCUCAUGGCUGGUGUUGUGCAGAACCCCUAUCAACUCCAAUGGGGAUGGCAGCAGGUUCAAGAGGCUAAAGAUGAGAACCAGGGCCAGCAGGAAAACUGUAACCACUGAAAGUCCGCUGUUUCGAUUCUGGGCAAGAUGCUAUGGUGGAAGAGAGACCAUGAGGAACUACUUAGAAAAAUACAUAAGGCCAUACCCACCUGGGAGACCUCAUCGGGUGCACAUAUUUCCUGCUGCUGAAUGGCUUAGGCUGGGAUUGGCAAGGAACCACGAAGUCCAAAGGACCUUUGCCUUUCUUUUAAAGGGAGGGACCAGCUGGUUCUUCAGUGUUGAAGGUCUUCUCCAGAGAUAACUUAAAGUGUGGAUAGAUGACAACGUGCUCAAGGUCUCACAGCUAGAAGAUGUCAGAGUGAGAACUCAAACCAUGUCACGUGACUCUAAGCCCAAAGCGGACUCUAGAAGGUUGUUUGAUCUUCUGAAGGAGGCACCGAUCACCAUUCCAACAUGAAAGAUGGAGAAAUCCAGAGAGAUUUAAAGGACUUGCCAAAGGCAAUGAAACGAGUGGUAUCUCCUGGCUCCCAGUCCAGCGUUCUUCGAAUAUGAUGUUGGCAGUGGUCUACCCAGCAAGUACACACAGCACGCAGCCACUCCGCAUGGGAAGUUCUGGGAAGGAUUUCAACCAGCAUAGUCACUCCUGCUGGUUCAUUAGGACAACUGCUGAGCCACAUUCUGAGCACCUGUAGGCGGAGGUGGGACCCUACAGAAAUCUAGGGCAUAAGGGAGAUGGGGACAUUAGAUCCUGGCUACUUUAACAUACUCACUUUACAGAUGAGGAAACUGAGGCCCAGAGAGGAUAAAUGCCUUGCUCAAUAUUAGCCAGUUGGUUGGUGGCAAAGAUUAAACCAGAACCCAGGUCUCCUCUCUCCAGCCAAAGUCUUCAAGCAAAGCUCCUAGAGAUCAGGUCAACUCUUGCUGCUGCUGCCAGUCUAAGGACAUAUGUAGCCACUUUAUCUAAAGUAUCUCAGAGAGCUAACUUUAUGGCAUUCUACGGAAGUCCUAGCUUUCCUUUAGGGGAACCCAAUUCAUUUGCAAGACGAAAAGCUGUUUUUAGCGUGGACUUUCAUUUUCUCCUAAGUGACUUACUCUCUCAGGUACAAUUUGGCCUUCACAGUGGCUGAAAAGACAGUUCCUGGGAAAACUUAGAACAUUUAAGCUUAUGUGUGUUGCAGUUCUCCUUAACGAGUGGAAGGGCAGAAGCUCAUAGUGGGUGGUGUUUACAAUGGGAGGAGGGAGACACGGGAGCCAGCCAGGGAGUCAGGACUAGGUAAUGUUCCUGUCAUGUGGGAUUUGUUCAGUUGCAAGUGAGAAAAAAGCUAAACUUAAACUAGACCUUAAAAAGAAUUAUUAUCUCAUUUAAGAACUACCACAACUCCUUCAGGCACAGCUUGAUCUAGGGAUUUAAAUCAUGUCAAAUAAUUUAAACUACAUUCUUUCUCUCCAGCUGUGGUGGAGACCUUUGGGGAUCAUUCUUGAGUAGUUCUUACCUUCUGGGCCACAUUGGAUGGCCAUAUUUCCCUGCCCCUUUGAGUUUAGGUGAGUCACAUGACAACUUCUAGUCAAUAAAAUGAGUGUGAGACAUUGCUGAAUGAGACAACUGAAUGAGACAAUACAGGAUGGAGAUCACCUGUAAUGUUGAGAUGGCGCCAUUACAGGAUGGAGAGCACCUGAACCCCCAAGUUACGGAAGAGAAGAAGACAGUUGCCCUGGAAAAUCAUCUGACCCAUGUUGGACUUUAUGAGAGGGGGAAAUAAACCUUUAUUGUGUUAAGCGACAGAA